UACAGAGGUCCCAAGCGUUGUUCGGAUUCACUGGGCAUAAAGGGUGCGUAGGUGGCGAGGUAAGUCGGAUGUGAAAGCUCGGAGCUCAACUCCGAAAUGGCAUUGGAAACUACCUUGCUCGAGGGUUGGAGGGGGGACUGGAAUUCUCGGUGUAGCAGUGAAAUGCGUAGAUAUCGAGAGGAACACCAGUGGCGAAGGCGAGUCCCUGGACAACUCCUGACACUGAGGCACGAAAGCUAGGGGAGCAAACAGG
rnacentral:rRNA from 1 species